UUCGACCAUAUCCACUUUGAAACACCAGUUCCCUUAUGACCACCAAAGUUAACCAACGUCAAGCCUGAUCAGUACAUAAAGGGUGACCGCUUAGGAAUACCAGGUUCUGUAAG